AGCGCAUACGGUGGAUGCCUUGGCAGUAAGAGGCGAUGAAGGACGUUGUAGCAUGCGAUAAGCCGCGGGGAGUUUGCAAACAUACCCUGAUCCGCGGAUUUCCGAAUGGGGAAACCCACUUGAGAUAACUCAAGUAUCCUGCACUGAAUACAUAGGUGCUGGAAGCAAACCCGGAGAACUGAAACAUCUAAGUACCCGGAGGAAAAGAAAUCAACCGAGAUUCCCUUAGUAGCGGCGAGCGAACGGGGAUUAGCCCUUAAGUGAUUACAUCGUUAGUGGAAUGGUCUGGAAAGUCCAGCGAUACAGGGUGAUAGCCCCGUACACGAAAACCUGUAAUCAUGAAAUCGAGUAGGACGGGGCACGUGAAACCUUGUCUGAAUAUGGGGGGACCAUCCUCCAAGGCUAAAUACUCCUUACUGACCGAUAGUGAACUAGUACCGUGAGGGAAAGGCGAAAAGAACCGGGGAGACCGGAGUGAAAUAGAUCCUGAAACCGUAUGCGUACAAGCAGUGGGAGCCGACUUUGUUCGGUGACUGCGUACCUUUUGUAUAAUGGGUCAGCGACUUAAUCUCAGUGGCAAGCUUAACCGAAUAGGGGAGGCGUAGCGAAAGCGAGUCUGAACAGGGCGUUCAGUCGCUGGGAUUAGACCCGAAACCGGGCGAUCUAUCCAUGACCAGGUUGAAGGUGUGGUAACACACACUGGAGGACCGAACCCACUCCCGUUGAAAAGGUAGGGGAUGAGUUGUGGAUCGGAGUGAAAGGCUAAUCAAGCUCGGAGAUAGCUGGUUCUCCUCGAAAGCUAUUUAGGUAGCGCCUCGUGUAUAACUGCUGGGGGUAGAGCACUGUUUCGGCUAGGGGGUCAUCCCGACUUACCAACCCGAUGCAAACUCCGAAUACCAGCAAGUUCGAGCACGGGAGACACACGGCGGGUGAUAAGGUCCGUCGUGAAAAGGGAAACAGCCCAGACCGUCAGCUAAGGUCCCAAAAUCUAUGCUCAGUGGGAAACGAUGUGGGAAGGCACAGACAGCCAGGAGGUUGGCUUAGAAGCAGCCAUCCUUUAAAGAAAGCGUAAUAGCUCACUGGUCGAGUCGGCCUGCGCGGAAGAUUUACCGGGGCUAAGCAUAGUACCGAAGCUACGGAUCAUACGUAAGUAUGGUGGUAGAGGAGCGUUCUGUACGCCUGCGAAGGUCAAUUGAGAAGUUGGCUGGAGGUAUCAGAAGUGCGAAUGCUGACAUGAGUAACGAUAAUAAGGGUGAAAAACCCUUACGCCGAAAACCCAAGGUUUCCUGCGCAACGCUAAUCGACGCAGGGUUAGUCGGUACCUAAGGCGAGGCCGAAAGGCGUAGUCGAUGGAAAACAGGUUAAUAUUCCUGUACCGGUCGUAACUGCGAUGGGGUGACGGAGAAGGCUAGGUCGGCUGCCUGUUGGAAUAGGCAGUGCAAGCCAGUAGGGAGAACGCUUAGGCAAAUCCGGGCGUUCAAUCCUGAGAGGUAAUGAUGAGCUUGCUCUACGGAGCGGCGAAGCGAUUGAUGCCAUGCUUCCAAGAAAAACCUCUAAGCUUCAGGUUACGAGUGGCCGUACUCUAAACCGACACAGGUGGGUGGGAUGAGAAUUCUAAGGCGCUUGAGAGAACUCGGGUGAAGGAACUAGGCAAAAUGGUACCGUAACUUCGGGAUAAGGUACGCCUUUGUUAGGUGAAGUGACUUGCUCAUGGAGCCGAGAAAGGCAGCAUAAAAUUGGUGGCUGCGACUGUUUAGCAAAAACAUAGCACUCUGCAAACUCGAAAGAGGAAGUAUAGGGUGUGACGCCUGCCCGGUGCUGGAAGGUUAAUUGAUGGGGUCAGCGCAAGCGAAGCUCUUGAUCGAAGCCCCAGUAAACGGCGGCCGUAACUAUAACGGUCCUAAGGUAGCGAAAUUCCUUGUCGGGUAAGUUCCGACCUGCACGAAUGGCGUAACGAUGGCCACACUGUCUCCACCCGAGACUCAGUGAAAUUGAAAUAGCUGUGAAGAUGCAGUUUACCCGCGGUUAGACGGAAAGACCCCGUGAACCUUUACUAUAGCUUGACACUGGACUUUGAAUCGACUUGUGUAGGAUAGGUGGGAGGCUUCGAAGCAGGAACGCCAGUUUCUGUGGAGCCAACCUUGAAAUACCACCCUGGUUUAUUUGAAGUUCUAACCUAGGUCCGUAAUCCGGAUUGGGGACAGUGUCUGGUGGGUAGUUUGACUGGGGCGGUCUCCUCCCAAAGAGUAACGGAGGAGCACGAAGGUACCCUCAGCAUGGUCGGAAAUCAUGCGCUGAGUGCAAUGGCAUAAGGGUGCUUGACUGCGAGACGGACAGGUCGAGCAGGUACGAAAGUAGGUCAUAGUGAUCCGGUGGUUCUGUAUGGAAGGGCCAUCGCUCAACGGAUAAAAGGUACUCCGGGGAUAACAGGCUGAUACCGCCCAAGAGUUCAUAUCGACGGCGGUGUUUGGCACCUCGAUGUCGGCUCAUCACAUCCUGGGGCUGAAGCAGGUCCCAAGGGUAUGGCUGUUCGCCAUUUAAAGUGGUACGCGAGCUGGGUUCAGAACGUCGUGAGACAGUUCGGUCCCUAUCUGCCGUGGGCGUUUGAGAUUUGAGGGAAGCUGCUCCUAGUACGAGAGGACCGGAGUGGACGAACCGCUGGUGUUCCGGUUGUCAUGCCAAUGGCAUUGCCGGGUAGCUACGUUCGGACAGGAUAACCGCUGAAAGCAUCUAAGCGGGAAGCCCCUCCCAAGAUGAGAUCUCACUGGGACUUCAAGUCCCCUGAAGGGCCGUCGGAGACUACGACGUUGA
rnacentral:rRNA from 1 species